UUCCGACGAUGAACAGAGGUCUUACGGGUUUGGAAUGACAUGAGGGUGAGUCAUUAAUGACAUAAUUUUCAUUUUUGGGUAAACUAACCCUUUAAUUUUCCUUUACACAAAUUGAGGCCAUAAAAAGGUCUUAAACCAGAGCAGAAAGUCUUAAAUUCAUAAAGUCGUGGUAUUAAAUGUUGCAUGCAUUGCAAAAAAAUGAAUAUCUUUCUCAGUACUUUUGUCCUGUUUUCCAAUCUAAACAUUUUUAAAUCAAGAUACAUUUACUUGAGAUGAAAAUUUAAAAAGUCUUGAAAAUUUGAACAAAAUUAAGUGAGUUUCUGCUUAAACCAAGAACUAACAUCUGUCAAUAAGUUAUCAUAAAUUCCCUUUGAAUUAAGUUGAUUUUUCUGAGCCCGUUGGCAGAUAUUUGUUCUCGAUAAAACUACCAUGAGCUCAUCUUCAUUAAAUGCAUCUUGAUCUAAGAAUCCUUAGACAUUUGCACUGGAAAACAAGACAAAAUACUGAGGAAGAACAUUUUUUUACAGUGUUUUUUUUUCAGCCAAAUUAAGCUUUAAAUAAAAGAUCACGUUUUUUGUUUUCUGAGCACCAUUUAAAGGUGGGGUAAGUAGUUUUUAAGAAGCACUGUUUGGAAUUUAGUCGGGCCGACACCAGCAACAAACGUGUAACCAAUCAACAAUAGGGGGCGUCUGACGGUCGAGGAAAGGGAACGAGCAAGAG